rnacentral:rRNA from 1 species
UACGGGGGGGGCAAGCGUUGUUCGGAAUUACUGGGCGUAAAGGGCGCGUAGGCGGCCCUCUAAGUCGGACGUGAAAUCCCUCGGCUCAACCGGGGAACUGCGUCCGAUACUGGAGGGCUUGAAUCCGGGAGAGGGAUGUGGAAUUCCAGGUGUAGCGGUGAAAUGCGUAGAUAUCUGGAGGAACACCGGUGGCGAAGGCGGCAUCCUGGACCGGUAUUGACGCUGAGGCGCGAAAGCUAGGGGAGCAAACGGG